UUGCCUCAGUAACGGCGAGUGAAGCGGCAACAGCUCAAAUUUGAAAUCUGGCGCAAGCCCGAGUUGUAAUUUGCAGAGGAUGUUUCGGGUGAAGCCACGGUCCAAGUCCCUUGGAACAGGACGUCAUAGAGGGUGAGAACCCCGUACCUGGCCGUCGGUGCCCCCCGCUGUGAAACUCCUUCGACGAGUCGAGUUGUUUGGGAAUGCAGCUCUAAAUUGGUGGUAAAUUCCAUCUAAAGCUAAAUACCGGCCAGAGACCGAUAGCGCACAAGUAGAGUGAUCGAAAGAUGAAAAGCACUUUGAAAAGAGAGUUAAAAAGUACGUGAAAUUGUUGAAAGGGAAGCGCUUGCGGCCAGACUUGCCCGCGGUUGCUCAGCCCGCCUUUUGGCGGGUGCACUCUUCCGCGGUCAGGCCAGCAUCGGUUUGGGCGGUCGGAUAAAGGCGUCGGGAACGUGGCCUCCCCUCGGGGAGGUGUUAUAGCCCGGCGCGCAAUGCGGCCAGCCCGGACCGAGGUUCGCGCUUUGCUAGGAUGCUGGCGUAAUGGCCGUAAGCGGCCCGUCUUGAAACACGGACCAAGGAGUCUAACAUCUAUGCGAGUGUUUGGGUGUCAAACCCGUGCGCGUAAUGAAAGUGAACGGAGGUGGGAACCGCAAGGUGCACCAUCGACCGAUCCUGAUGUCUUCGGAAGGAUUUGAGUAAGAGCAUAGCUGUUGGGACCCGAAAGAUGGUGAACUAUGCGUGAAUAGGGUGAAGCCAGAGGAAACUCUGGUGGAGGCUCGCAGCGGUUCUGACGUGCAAAUCGAUCGUCAAAUUUGCGUAUAGGGGCGAAAGACUAAUCGAACCAUUUGCAAACAGCAAUACUAGAUGGUCAAAGGGCGGAGAGCCUUAGUCCCCACGGGGGCCACACUGCCAAACUGCGGGGAACGCCCACAGCCGGACGCCACCGCCCCCCCGCCGCGAGGUGGGAGGGGCACCCCGUUUACUCGGGGGCAUGGUAACAGCGCGCCCGGCGGGUCGAUCCGCAGCCGUCCCCCGAUCCGUCGGGGGGUGGUUCACAGACUAGACGGCGGUGGGCGCGGCGAGCGCUUAAGAUAUAGUCGAUCCAGCCCCUCA
rnacentral:rRNA from 1 species